ensembl:lncRNA
CAAAGAGCACGCGCAUUUUUUGCGGUCCGGAGCUGUAGGAAUCUGAAGGCUAGACCGUCCCAUUUCACAGCCUCGCACUUCCGGCCUUCUUGGACUUCGAAGGACCCGGCCCACGUAGACCGCGAAGGCCGGGUCCUUCGAUGGAUGCAGCCGACGUUUUGGGACACAGCUACAAAUUACCUCAGACACACAGACUGAUGCGACAAAACCAACAUGGCUGGUAAGGAGAUGAGGAGGAAACAGUAGCAGCUGUGUGAGGUUACUAAAGGCAGUGGAUCCCUCAGCAGCUGGAUUACAAAGAGCACAGCUUUGAGCACCUGCCCCUUUAAACGUCUCUGCACGGCCCUGAUUCCAGGCUUCUGUACGGGUGUUACAGUCACGUGUCUGUAGGUGGGUCUAAAAUGGAGGUUGUUGACGGAAAACGGCUCUGAUGCGGCUAGGUUGGCAUGGUAAUUACCGGCUAUCACAUGGCUACCGGCUACCGGCGAAAAUAACGGAGGAAAUCGG